GUGCUCGCUUCGGCAGCGCAUAUACUAAAAUUGAAACAAUAGAUUAGAGUAGCAUGGCCCCUACACAAGGAUAACAUGCAAAUUCGCAAAGUGUUCCAUGUUUUG